CCCCAAGCCAUAAGACUCAAAUGGCAACCCGGACUAUAUGCAUUCUGGCAACAGAGUUUGACUAUUAGCCAUAGCUAGCAAGCAAGGACCUACCUCCAGCCUGCCUGGUUAAAUAAAUCAAAUAAAAAGGGAUAGGAAUGUUGCCAGCGAGAAUGGCAACGGAACAUAAAGAACGAACAACUGGGUCUUGUCUAGUUAAUCGAACGAACGACUGGGUAACGUCUAGCAACCAAAAUAUGAAAAGCUUAGACUACAGGGAUCACAGAAACCACACACACACACACCUAGCAUUUCACUGUAUCCUAUUUCUAACAGUUCAGCAGAAGGCCACCACACCACAUUAGAGUUGUUAAGACAGAGCAUAUGAACAACAGUGAGACUGACUACUACAGAAAGCAGCACUGGACAGCCAUGCAGGCGAAGGAAUGUGGAUUGUCCUACAGGGAAUUCUCUGAAGGAUGAGGAAAGGAUCCUGCAGAUUGUCCUACAGGAAUUGCCCUGAAAAUCUUGUGGAAUUACCUGCAGGAUUAUUACCUACAGGAUAUCUCACAGGAUUUGGGUGCCAUUUUCCUAUAGGACAAUUCCAUCAGUAGUACCUGCAUGAUUCCUAGUGUGUCCUCCAGGAUUCCUGUAUGAAUUUUGUCCUACAGAAAAGUGGCCCUGAAAAUCCUGUGGGAUAUCCUGCAGGACUUCCUAAACCUGUAACCUGUGAAGUUCAUCAUUUAUUUCAUCUGUAGCCUAACUGCGUGGGUUCCUGAGUCAUAGUGGGAGGACCACACACCAUAUCAUCGUGCGACUCCAAGUUAUGUCAAUAUUUGUGCAUAAAGACGUAUCCACCGCCAUUUCUCACAUAAUUAAUUUGACAAAUUACCUGUAGACAUUUCCAAAAUUGUACGGAAACGUCCUGUUUCCAUCACAGCUGUUUAUAUGGUAGGAUUUUACUUGCAUUAAAACUGUGGGUGGAUG